CUGCAAGUCGAGCGCACUCUUCGGAGUGAGCGGCGGACGGGUUAGUAACGCGUGGGAACGUGCCCUUCUCUAAGGAAUAGCCACUGGAAACGGUGAGUAAUACCUUAUACGCCCUUCGGGGGAAAGAUUUAUCGGAGAAGGAUCGGCCCGCGUUAGAUUAGAUAGUUGGUGGGGUAAUGGCCUACCAAGUCUACGAUCUAUAGCUGGUUUUAGAGGAUGAUCAGCAACACUGGGACUGAGACACGGCCCAGACUCCUACGGGAGGCAGCAGUGGGGAAUCUUGGACAAUGGGCGCAAGCCUGAUCCAGCCAUGCCGCGUGAGUGAUGAAGGCCUUAGGGUCGUAAAGCUCUUUCGCCAGAGAUGAUAAUGACAGUAUCUGGUAAAGAAACCCCGGCUAACUCCGUGCCAGCAGCCGCGGUAAUACGGAGGGGGUUAGCGUUGUUCGGAAUUACUGGGCGUAAAGCGCACGUAGGCGGAUCAGAAAGUAUAGGGUGAAAUCCCAGGGCUCAACCCUGGAACUGCCUUGUAAACUCCUGGUCUUGAGUUCGAGAGAGGUGAGUGGAAUUCCGAGUGUAGAGGUGAAAUUCGUAGAUAUUCGGAGGAACACCAGUGGCGAAGGCGGCUCACUGGCUCGAUACUGACGCUGAGGUGCGAAAGUGUGGGGAGCAAACAGGAUUAGAUACCCUGGUAGUCCACACCGUAAA
rnacentral:rRNA from 1 species